UCCCCCAUGCAUUCUCAUUUUGUUUUGUCCUCUUUCUCAACUCUUUAUACUUUCUGAACAAGCAUCCAAAUAUUUUAACUAAGCUUAGAAAAAUUAGACAUGCCUAUAAUUUUAUAAUCUUUAUUGUUCUAUAGACUAUUGUUUAUGAAUUUGUUUUCUUGUCAGGUCAGCCAACUACGCAUCUCUGGUGACUGCACAGCUUGUUGUGUUGGCUUCACACAUGGCUGGACUAGGACUUCCGGACAAUGAUGCUUGGUACAUGAUCGAAACAAUUGCAGAGAGGAAUAGUAUCGGUUCCAAACAAUUUGACUAUCCGAGCCAUAAGUUCAGAUCGGGGGAAGGUGGUGUCAGGAUCUGAUGAUAAGUCUGUUUUGGUGUGGGAUAAGCAGACAACUCAACUUUUAGAAGAGCUUAAAGGCCAUGAUGGACCGGUCAGCUGUGUACGCACGCUCUCAGGUGAGCGUGUGCUAACUGCGUCUCAUGAUGGCACUGUGAAGAUGUGGGAUGUAAGAACUGAUAGAUGUGUUCUUUAUUCACAAAUGUAAACAAAUAUCUAUUUCUAUAUAAAAAUGCUGGUCAUUAAGAAUGGUUGGUGAUACUGUUAUUACUGGUAGUGAUGAUUGGACAGCAAGAAUAUGGUCUGUUUCAUGAGGAACAUGGCGAUGAUGCGGCUGCCGUAGCACGUUAUUCUUACCGAAGCAAGAAAUUUCUUGGGUUAUCGACGGUAAAGGAGGAGUCAGGGGGUUAGAAUUAGGCAUAAGCAGUAGGUUAUGUAUUUUUUUAUUGUGGAAUGUUUUAGUAUUACUUUUCAUACUUUGAGAACAAUGUUUAUAAUAUUAUGAGAUGUUUUUUUAAUUAAUGCAUUAUCUUGUUCUAAGAAUUUCAUA